UGAGGAAUAUUGGACAAUUGGCGCAAGCCUGAUCCAGCCAUGUCGCGUGCACGAAGAAGCAUCUAUGGUGUGUAAACUGCUUUUUUACUGGAAGAAACACUCCUUCGUGAAGGAGCUUGACGGUACCGUAAGAAUAAGGAUCGGCUAACUCCGUGCCAGCAGCCGCGGUAAUACGGAGGAUCCAAGCGUUAUCCGGAAUCAUUGGGUUUAAAGGGUCCGUAGGCGGUUUAGUAAGUCAGUGGUGAAAGCCCAUCGCUCAACGAUGGAACGGCCAUUGAUACUGCUAGACUUGAAUUAUUAGGAAGUAACUAGAAUAUGUAGUGUAGCGGUGAAAUGCUUAGAUACUACAUGGAAUACCAAUUGCGAAGGCAGGUUACUACUAAUGGAUUGACGCUGAUGGACGAAAGCGUGGGGAGCGAACA
rnacentral:rRNA from 1 species